UACUUAAAUCUACUUAAAUUAAAUUAAUCCUAUACAUUACUGUGAUUCAAGAGAGAGAGCAGGCAUUCCAUGAGCUUCACAUACCUUAGAGAGAGUUUACCGGUGUUACAUCAAGUAACUAUUCUAAUAAAAGUUCAAAUGUUCAUAAGUCUUUUUGAAACAGCUCACUAUUGCACAGAUUUUUAUGUUUGUCUCUUCAUCAUCUGUCAUCUCUGUUUCUGUUGGCUACCCCAACGGGACGAGUUGUUUUCCCAUCAAUGUUCUACAUACUUAUUGCCUUUGUUCACUUUUCUAACAAUAUUAACUCCUAUCUCUCUGUCUUCUCUGACUCCCUUCUG
rnacentral:lncRNA from 1 species